rnacentral:rRNA from 1 species
GACGAACGCUGGCGGCGUGCCUAACACAUGCAAGUCGAACGGAGUUGAUCUUUCGGGAUUAACUUAGUGGCGAACGGGUGAGUAACGCGUGAGAAACCUGCCUUUCAGUGGGGGACAACAGUUGGAAACGACUGCUAAUACCGCAUAACGUAUCCGGGGGGCAUCCUCUGGAUACCAAAGCUUUAUGUGCUGAAAGAUGGUCUCGCGUCUGAUUAGCUAGAUGGCGGGGUAACGGCCCACCAUGGCGACGAUCAGUAGCCGGUCUGAGAGGAUGAACGGCCACAUUGGGACUGAGAUACGGCCCAGACUCCUACGGGAGGCAGCAGUGGGGAAUAUUGGGCAAUGGGGGAAACCCUGACCCAGCAACGCCGCGUGAAGGAAGAAGGCC